AGAAUCAACGCUGGCGGCGUGCCUAACACAUGCAAGUCGAACGAGAAAGUGGAGCAAUCCAUGAGUAAAGUGGCGCACGGGUGAGUAACACGUAACUAACCUACCCUUGAGUGGGGGAUAACCUAGAGAAAUCUGGGCUAAUACCGCAUAAUACCUUCGGGUCAAAGGAGCAAUUCGCUUAAGGAGGGGUCGCGGCCGAUUAGUUAGUUGGCGGGGUAAUGGCCCACCAAGACUGUGAUCGGUA
rnacentral:rRNA from 1 species